UGGCGGACGGGUGAGUAACACGUGGGUAACCUGCCCUUAAGUGGGGGAUAACAUUUGGAAACAGAUGCUAAUACCGCAUAGAUCCAAGAACCGCAUGGUUCUUGGCUGAAAAAUGGCGUAAGCUAUCGCUUUUGGAUGGACCCGCGGCGUAUUAGCUAGUUGGUGAGGUAAUGGCUCACCAAGGCGAUGAUACGUAGCCGAACUGAGAGGUUGAUCGGCCACAUUGGGACUGAGACACGGCCCAAACUCCUACGGGAGGCAGCAGUAGGGAAUCUUCCACAAUGGACGCAAGUCUGAUGGAGCAACACCGCGUGAGUGAAGAAGGCUUUCGGGUCGUAAAACUCUGUUGUUGGAGAAGAAUGGUCGGCAGAGUAACUGUUGUCGGCGUGACGGUAUCCAACCAGAAAGCCACGGCUAACUACGUGCCAGCAGCCGCGGUAAUACGUAGGUGGCAAGCGUUAUCCGGAUUUAUUGGGCGUAAAGCGAGCGCAGGCGGUUUUUUAAGUCUGAUGUGAAAGCCCUCGGCUUAACCGAGGAAGCGCAUCGGAAACUGGGAAACUUGAGUGCAGAAGAGGACAGUGGAACUCCAUGUGUAGCGGUGAAAUGCGUAGAUAUAUGGAAGAACACCAGUGGCGAAGGCGGCUGUCUGGUCUGUAACUGACGCUGAGGCUCGAAAGCAUGGGUAGCGAACAGGAUU
rnacentral:rRNA from 1 species